UUUUCUUCUUCCUUUCUCUUCUUCCCUUUUAUUUUUCUUCUUCUUCUGGAUUGCAUAGUUUGGCCUCUUUUUAUGCAUAGAUUGGCCCACCUUACAUUAUCCCAUAGAUCUCUCAUAUUGCUUUCAGGUUUGGCAUUUGCUUUCUGUCUGCUCUCCUGAUUCAGUGAUUUAUGUUAGUCUAUCUUCCAAGUCACUAAUCAUUGUUCUGCAUUAUUCAUUCUGCUCUUCAGUGACUUUAAUUCAGCUUUUGUCUCUAAAUGAAUUUUCUAAUUUUCUUCACUCCUCCUUAUAUCUUUCCUUUCUAAAUUAAUCUGCAUUCCUGUUCAUAUCAACUCUUAAUUCCUUCAUAUUUUUUUCUUCAUUCCUUCUUAUUUUCACUGUCUCCUUUUUGAACUCAGUAUCUUUAGACUGCAGAGGUCUGUUUCAUCAUUUGCUCCUUCAGUGGAAUUCUUCUGUAGUUUUAACUCUGAAUGGUUCCUCAGCUUCUUCAUUUUGCUUAUAUUUUUCUUAUUCUAUUUGUUUAGGGAAAAUAACUCAUAUAUAGUCUUGGAGGGCUAUUUAUUUAUUUUAUUAUUAUUAUUGCUUUUUAGGGCUGCAUUUGUGGCAUAUGGAAGUUACCAGUCUAGGGGUCAAAUUGCAGCUAUAGUUGCUGACAUACACCACAGCCACAGCAACUCAGGAUCUGAGCCAUGACUGUGGACUAUACCAUAGCUCGCAGCAACUCUAUAUCCUAACCCACUGAGCGAGGCAGGGAUUGAACAUGAAUCCUCAUGGAUCCUAUAUGGGUUCAUUACUGCUGAGCCAUGAAAAGGAACAUCCUUGGAGGGCUAUUUAUAUGCGAGAGUGCCCCUUGGUGGCUUCUAAGGCUUACUGUUUAUUUUUGGAGUGAGGGUUUUGAUGCUUAUGGCUUUUCGUCUCUUUCCUUAAUGUUUUCAGGCUGUUAUGUCCUUGCGCUUCCAGGGAAAUGGAGGCAAUCAUCAUGGCUAGUAGCCAGUAUCUGGUUUCUGAGCUCUUUACAGUGUCAAGGACUCUCAGGAAAGUGGUGCAGGCUUCUCCUUGUUCCAAGGCCCUGGGAAGUGGAAAUGACUCUCAGUUAAGUUUAGGCAGCACUUGGAGCAUUUGGCAGUGGCAGUGGCAGGGAAUUUGCAUUCUUAGGGGUGUAAGAACAACAACAUGUGGUGCUCUGUUCCAAUGCCCUCCUCUGUGCAGACCUCUGAGGUGACUGGGGCCACAGGUGGUGCUUGUUCAUAGACACAUAGUGGUGGGGAACUAUGCCCAUCUCUGGCUGGUUGGCACCCCUUGACUUUAGAACAUGCAAGAGUCAUUCCAUCACACUUAGUCUCAGCAAGAGUGGUCCAUUGCCUGUACCCAUGUAAGAAGCAUCUAGCUGCCAUUAGCCCCACACUCCAAAAAUCUGCAAGUGCACAGAAAAAGAUAUUCCUAUGGUAGUCUGCUGUUCCUCCUCUUGCCCUCCCCAACAAUGGUGCCUUGCUUCUCCUUUGGGCACAGACCUCCUCCCAUGUUCUCUCUGCUAUGGUGCUCCACUCCCCAGCCUUUGUUACAGUACUCUCUAGCCCCUCAGGCUGUCUCCACACAACCAACCCUUGGCUAAUUCCUGGAACUAUCCUCUGGAGCCUAAGUUUCAGUGCCCAGCACUCUUCCAAGUAUCUCAAUCUUGUGGUGUGCUAGGAUGUGAUAUUGAUAGUCUGUGCAGUUCCCUCUUUGCUUUCCCCUCCUCAUUCAUUCUGCUGCACUUUUCUCUACGGCUUUGGGGUCCCCUCAUCUCUGCUGACCUCCCUGUGAGUUAGGUGGCUUCCCAGGUUGUGGGUUCCUUUCCUUUUUCAUCAUUCCUUCUCAGGAGUUCUGGUCCUGUCCUAAUUUAUUUCUGUCCUUCUCUUUCUUUCUUCCCUCUCUGUCUUUUCCUUUGUUCUACCCAGUUAUGUGGAGGGUUUCUUGCCCUUUUUGAUGGUUCAAGAUCUUCUACCAUCAUUCAGUAGAUGUUCUGUGUGAAUCAUUCUACAUUUAGGUGGGUUUUUAAAAUAUGAUUGUGGGAGAAGGUGAGUGCCAUGUCCUACUCCUCCAUCACCUUGAUCCCCUACCCUGGCCUCUUAAUUUUAAAUGCAUUUUCAAUAUCCUGAAUCUUUCCUCUCUUCUCACAAUUGCUGGUUAUGAUAUCAUAAUUUUGUGUUCAUGAUCUCCUUCCUUUACUCUAUAUUUGCCUUUAGUAUUGACUUUCACAUCCAUAACUUUCUUGUUUUUAGUUGUGGCCAUUUCUUUUCAAGCUAGAGAAGCUUCUUUAGCAUCUCUUGUAAAGCCGAUUUGGUGGUGCUGAACUCUCUUAGUUUUUGCUUGUCUGUAAAGCUUUUGAUUUGUCCAUUGUAUCUGAAUGAGAGCCUUGCUAGGUAGAUUGUUCUUGGUUGUUGGUUCUUCAUUAUUCUAAAUAUAUUUUGUCCCUCCAUUCUGGCUUUCAGGGUUUCUGCUGAAAAAUAAGGUGAUGUUCUUAUGGAGUUUCCCUUGUAUGUUUUCAGUUGCUUUACCCUUGUUGCUUUUAAUAUUUUUUUGUAUCUAAUUUUUGUCACUUUGACUUGUAUGUGUCCUGCUGUGUUUCUCCUUGGGUUUAUCCUGUGUGGGAUGCUCUAUGCUGUCUCAAUUUGAGUAAGUGUUUCCUUUCCUAUGUUAUGGAAGUUUUCAGUUAUUAUCUAUUCAAAUAAUUUGUCAGGUCCUUUCUGUCUCUUUUCUUCUUUUGAGACCCCUCAAAAUGUUUGUAUAUUUAAUGUUGUCCCAGAAGUCUCUGAAGCAGACUGCAUUUCUUUCCAUUAUUUUUUCUUUAUUCUGUUACAUGGCAAUAAUUUUCAGCAUUCUAUAUUCCAGCUCAUUUAUCUGUUCUGUCUCAUUUAUUCUUCUAUUGAUCUCUUCUAGUGUAUCUUUCAUUUUAGCUAUUGUAUUGUUCAACUUGGUUUGAUUUUUUUUCUUUUUAUGGCUGCACCUCCAGCAUAUGGGAGUUCCAAGAUUAGGGAUUAAAUCAGAGCUGAAGCUGCAAGCCACAGCCGCAGCAACACUGGAUCCAAGCUGCAUCUGAAACCUAUGCCACAGAUUGUAGCAACGCCAGAUCCUUCACCCAUUGAUUUAGUACAGGGAUUGAUUCAGCAUCCUCAUAAACACUAUAUCAGUUUCUUAACCCAUGAUGGUAACUCUG
ensembl:lncRNA